rnacentral:rRNA from 1 species
AUAAGAGGUCCAGCCUGCCCAGUGACUCAUUCAACGGCCGCGGUAUACUAACCGUGCGAAGGUAGCGUAAUCACUUGUCUUCUAAAUAAAGACCAGUAUGAAAGGCAUCACGAAGACUAAACUGUCUCCUCUCUCCAAUCAGUGAACCUAAUCUCCCCGUGAAGAAGCGGGGAUCCCAUUAUAAGACGAGAAGACCCCAUGGAGCUUAAAACACCAUAACACCUGCCCCAAUUCUCAACCACUCCGAUGUUUCCAUGUAACGGCACCCUGAUUAUGUGUUUUUGGUUGGGGUGACCGCGGAGAAAAACUCAUCCUCCACAAUGAAAGGGGCCCUCCCCUAAACAAUAAGUUACAACUUUAUGUAUCAAAAAAUUGACAUUCAUUGACCCAACAAAUUGAUUAACGAACCAAGUUACCCUGGGGAUAACAGCACAAUCCACUUUGAGAGCCCCUAUCGACAAGUGGGCUUAUGACCUCGAUGUUGGAUCGGGAUAUCCUAGUGGUGUAACCGCUACUAAAGGUUCGUUUGUUCAACGAUUAAAAUCCCACGUGAUCUG